CUUCGGGUUGUAAAGUUCUUUCGGUGACGAGGAAGGUUGUUGUGUUAAUAGCGCAACAAAUUGACGUUAAUCACAGAAGAAGCACCGGCUAACUCCGUGCCAGCAGCCGCGGUAAUACGGAGGGUGCGAGCGUUAAUCGGAAUAACUGGGCGUAAAGGGCACGCAGGCGGACUUUUAAGUGAGGUGUGAAAUCCCCGGGCUUAACCUGGGAAUUGCAUUUCAGACUGGGGGUCUAGAGUACUUUAGGGAGGGGUAGAAUUCCACGUGUAGCGGUGAAAUGCGUAGAGAUGUGGAGGAAUACCGAAGGCGAAGGCAGCCCCUUGGGAAUGUACUGACGCUCAUGUGCGAAAGCGUGGGGAGCAAACAGGAUUAGAUACCCUGGUAGUCCACGCUGUAAACGGUGUCGAUUUGGGGAUUGGGGUUUAGCCCUGGUGCCCGAAGCUAACGUGAUAAAUCGACCGCCUGGGGAGUACGGCCGCAAGGUUAAAACUCAAAUGAAUUGACGGGGGCCCGCACAAGCGGUGGAGCAUGUGGUUUAAUUCGAUGCAACGCGAAGAACCUUACCUACUCUUGACAUCCGAAGAAGAACUCAGAGAUGGGUUUGUGCCUUAGGGAGCUUUGAGACAGGUGCUGCAUGGCUGUCGUCAGCUCGUGUUGUGAAAUGUUGGGUUAAGUCCCGCAACGAGCGCAACCCUUAUCCUUUGUUGCCAGCGACUU
rnacentral:rRNA from 1 species